AUGUGGCGGAGAGUGGUCGUGGCUUCAUUGAUAAACUCACCGCAGUGGGUGGGUGAGGCGUUCCUCCUCCACUGCCUUCUCCUUCUCCUCCUUACUCUUCCCCUUGGUCUCCUUCUCCUUGCUCUUCCCCUUGGCCUCCUCCUUGGGCGGCAUCUGAAGCAGAAAACAAUCUACUAUGGAACUAAUCAUGUGAACCCGAGGAGCAACACCUCCAACUCCAACUCCAAGGCGUCGCGCCGGAGCAGCUCCGGCCCGGAGAAGCCGCCGCAGCCAGCGGAGGGACCAACGGCGGCGGGGGAGGCGCAGGAGGUGCCGCCGGCGUCGCUCAAGUCGUUCAGCAUGGCGGACCUGCGGGUGGCCACCAAGAACUUCGGCUCCACGUCCUACCUGGGCGAGGGCGGGUUCGGGUGCGUGUAUAAGGGGUGGAUCGACGAGACCUCCCUCGCCCCUGCCAGGCCCAGCGCCACCAACGCCAUGAUGUUGGUGGCCAUCAAGAAGCUCAAGAAGGAGAGCUUCCAGUGCCACCAGGAGUGGCUCACCGAGGUGACCUACCUUGGCGACCUCCACCAUGACAACCUGGUCAAGCUCGUCGGCUACUGCUCUGACUCCAACAGCAACAAGCUGCUGGUGUACGAGUACAUGCCGCGCGGCAGCCUGGAGAACCACCUGUUCCGGCGGGGCAGCCAGCCGCUGCUGCCGUGGUCCACGCGCGUGUCCGUUGCCGUUGACGUCGCCCGCGGGCUCGCCUUCCUCCACUCCCGCGACGUCAUCUUUCGGGACCUCAAGUCCUCCAACGUGCUCCUCGGCCCCGACCACCGCGCCAAGCUCUCCGACUUCGGCCUCGCCCGCGCCGGCCCCACCAGCGGCAAGAGCCACGUCUCCACCCGCGUCGUCGGCACGCGCGGCUACGCCGCGCCGGAGUACGUCGCCACAGGCCACCUCUCCGCCAAGAGCGACGCCCGCGGCGUGGCGUCGGAGCUGCUGGUCGACUGGGCCAUGCCGAUGCUGCAGGGGGAGCAGCGCAAGGUGAUACGCGUCAUGGACACCAGGCUCGGCGGGCAGUAUCCCAAGAGGCAGGCGCAGGACAUGGCCGCGCUCGCGCUCCGAUGCCUCCAGAAUGACUCCAAGAGCCGCCCCUCCAUGGCCGACGACGUCCUCCCAGCCCUCGAGCUCCUCCUGCACCCAACCACCUCCUCCUUGACCACAACGUCGUCCAGAUCGCCGGCCGCGUUGGCGGCGCCGGUGCACAGAGGCAACCGACGAUCAUCACAAAAGCUAGCUAGCUUGGAGACUCUGUUCAUUUAA
rnacentral:rRNA from 1 species